rnacentral:lncRNA from 11 species
AUGAAGGGUCUCAAGGACACACAGAAACAAGCAAAGGCCACAAGGGAUCCCAGGUCCGUCUCCUGUGCAUCCCAAAUUAGACCCCUGCUGCCACCACAUUUCCUACAUCUCUCAAAGGAACCCCAAAUUCCCAAAGACGUUGCCUUCCUGCCUGGCAAAUUCAACACCCCAUUUAGGCAUGCUGAGAUGCUCACAGAACUGGUCUCGCCUGGACUAAGUCCCCGUUGGGCUGUUCACUCCCUUGGUUGAGCCGCAGGACGGCAUGCAAAUUCACAGGCACAGCGCAGUCGGGAAACCCUCCUUCCUGCCCAGCCCUUUCCACCCCUGUCCAUUUCCGCCUCUAUUUCCUGCCCUCUGUUGUGGGGAAAGGCUUUUCAGCAGGUGAAGGCUGGGUUCUGGUCUUUGGCUGGGUUCUGUGGUCUUUGGAUACAGGUGAACUACAACUCCCAAAAUCAAGGCCCAUUCCCACAAACCCUUGUAGUAUGUUCAGUUGGUCAUGAGGCUUCUCUGUGCAAAGUGUGGUCCUGGUCCAUUGUCAGUGGGGGUCACUUUUUCUCUGGAUGCAGGUGAACUACAAGUCCCUUUUCCCCAAACUAGUCCAAUAUGUUUAUUAGUUAUGGGGGCUCUGUGUGCCAAGUGUGGUCCUGGUCUAUCAUUGGUGGCGUUUGAUUGCAGGUGAACUAUAAAUCCCAGUACCUACUACUCCCAAAUAUCCAGGCCAAUUUCCCUCCAAACCCACCAGUAUUCAAAUCUGGGCAUCUUGGGGAUGCAUGGCAAGUUUGGCCCAGAGCCAUCUUUGUUUGGGUUCAUAGCAUUCUGGGUGUAGGAGAACUACAACUCCUUCCCCAUGUAAGCCGCCCCGAGUCCCUCCGGGGAGAUGGGGCAGGAUAUAAGAAUAAAAUUAUUAUUAUUAUUAUUAUUCCCCAGUAGGAGUCACAGCAGUGCUCUGAUUUGAUGCAGGGUGAACUACAACUUCCACCAUGUGCAGUCAAUCCCCAAACUCCUCCAGUAAGUUUAUUUCUGCUCAGUUCUGCUGUGUUUGUUAUGCAGACAGAUUUGAAAGGGAAGGGCAGUAGGCGGGGUCAUGCAAAUUCCACAGCAAUGGAGAACCCUGGGAUGCCUGCCUGUGGUGGAAGAAAAAGCAAAAUCUAGGAUGAAAUGGUCACCAAACGAAAGCAUUCCUUGGGGUGGUGGGCUGUAGUGUUUGGGAAGGACAUUGGCAGGGGUUGGGCUGCAUGUUCAUUGAGCUCGCUGUAGCCAAAAUGUCAGCGGAAAAGAGUGACUUGCUAGAUUUUUAACCAUGGGAACUAUAGCCUGUUUGUGGAGGUUGGAGGCUGUCUGUGUGAGCAGGCAUCCGUGCCACAUACACACAUACGGGUUUUC